rnacentral:lncRNA from 1 species
UUUGUCUGUGACCACCUUGUGGCCACUGAGGCACACACUCAUCCUGAAUCUGGUCCUCUGUUACUAACUCAGCCAAGGCUGGGUUUUCCCUGUGUUCUGCUUUCUGUGAGGAUGUGCUGGAGUAUCACAUAUGCUUUCCCUGGCAUGUCUAGUACCACUUAAGGCAGAAAGAAAAGGAGUUGAUGACCACAUAUCUACUGCAUCAGCAACCCCAUGCCAUUUGUUCUUCUUUCUAAGCUUCUCUCCCUCCUCAAUCUCUCUCUCUCGUGUGACUUUCCUCCAGGUUGGAUGUGUUCAUGGCUGUCUUGAAGCCGAGUGGCUCUGACGCCCGACUGGAGGCCCUCACAAGAUCCUUGUGGAGGUGGAAGGCAGAUGACAGACUGAGCUGCAGGAUGACGCUGGCUUUACAAGAGGAAACAAGUUCGGGUCACAGGUGUCUGUGCGUACGGGCCUUCUACCACAAGCGACUGAGGCACAAAACAAAAACCCUGGAGGCUGGAGACAGCUCAGUUGAUCAAGUUCUUGCUGUACAAGCAGGAGCCUGAGAAUACUCCC